rnacentral:snRNA from 1 species
AUGCUCACAUUGGCAGCACCUAUUAUAAAAUUGGAACCACACAGAGAUAACAUGCCCCCCCCACGCAAAGAUGACAAGCAAAUUCAUUAAGCAUUCCAUAUAUAU